GGGCCCGUAGCCUAGCCAGGAAGGGCGUCGGGCUCCAGACCCGAAGGCCAGGGGUUCAAAUCCCCUCGGGCCCA
rnacentral:tRNA from 1 species